rnacentral:rRNA from 2 species
UACAGAGGGUGCAAGCGUUAAUCGGAUUUACUGGGCGUAAAGGGCGCGUAGGUGGUUGCGUAAGUGAGAUGUGAAAGCCCCGGGCUCAACCUGGGAACUGCAUCUUAUACUGCGUAGCUGGAGUGAAGUAGAGGGUAGUGGAAUUUCCGGUGUAGCGGUGAAAUGCGUAGAUAUCGGAAGGAACACCAGUGGCGAAGGCGGCUACCUGGACUUACACUGACACUGAGGCGCGAAAGCGUGGGUAGCAAACAGG